rnacentral:rRNA from 1 species
CCUACGGGGUGCAGCAGUGAGGAAUAUUGGUCAAUGGGCGCGAGCCUGAACCAGCCAAGUAGCGUGAAGGAUGACUGCCCUACGGGUUGUAAACUUCUUUUAUAAAGGAAUAAAGUGAGGCACGUGUGCCUUUUUGUAUGUACUUUAUGAAUAAGGAUCGGCUAACUCCGUGCCAUCAGCCGCGGUAAUACGGAGGAUCCGAGCGUUAUCCGGAUUUAUUGGGUUUAAAGGGAGCGGAGAUGGGUUGUUAAGUCAGUUGUGAAAGUUUGCGGCUCAACCGUGAAAUUGCAAUUGAUACUGGCAGUCUUGAGUGCAGUUGAGGUAGGCGGAAUUCGUGGUGUAGCGGUGAAAUGCUUAGAUAUCACGAAGAACUCCGAUUGCGAAGGCAGCUUACUAAGCUGCCACUGACAUUGAUGCUCGAAAGUGUGGGUAUCAAACAGGAUUAGAUACCCGGGUAGUC